AUUGAACGCUGGCGGCAGGCUUAACACAUGCAAGUCGAACGAUGAUUUCCCAGCUUGCUGGGAAUGAUUAGUGGCGGACGGGUGAGUAACAUUUAGGAAUCUGCCUAGUAGUGGGGGAUAGCUCGGGGAAACUCGAAUUAAUACCGCAUACGACCUACGGGUGAAAGGGGGCGCAAGCUCUUGCUAUUAGAUGAGCCUAAAUCAGAUUAGCUAGUUGGUGGGGUAAAGGCCCACCAAGGCGACGAUCUGUAACUGGUCUGAGAGGAUGAUCAGUCACACCGGAACUGAGACACGGUCCGGACUCCUACGGGAGGCAGCAGUGGGGAAUAUUGGACAAUGGGGGCAACCCUGAUCCAGCCAUGCCGCGUGUGUGAAGAAGGCCUUUUGGUUGUAAAGCACUUUAAGCAGGGAGGAGAGGCUAAUGGUUAAUACCCAUUAGAUUAGACGUUACCUGCAGAAUAAGCACCGGCUAACUCUGUGCCAGCAGCCGCGGUAAUACAGAGGGUGCGAGCGUUAAUCGGAAUUACUGGGCGUAAAGCGAGUGUAGGUGGCUCAUUAAGUCACAUGUGAAAUCCCCGGGCUUAACCUGGGAACUGCAUGUGAUACUGGUGGUGCUAGAAUAUGUGAGAGGGAAGUAGAAUUCCAGGUGUAGCGGUGAAAUGCGUAGAGAUCUGGAGGAAUACCGAUGGCGAAGGCAGCUUCCUGGCAUAAUAUUGACACUGAGAUUCGAAAGCGUGGGUAGCAAACAGGAUUAGAUACCCUGGUAGUCCACGCCGUAAACGAUGUCUACUAGCCGUUGGGGUCCUUGAGACUUUAGUGGCGCAGUUAACGCGAUAAGUAGACCGCCUGGGGAGUACGGCCGCAAGGUUAAAACUCAAAUGAAUUGACGGGGGCCCGCACAAGCGGUGGAGCAUGUGGUUUAAUUCGAUGCAACGCGAAGAACCUUACCUGGUCUUGACAUAGUGAGAAUCUCUCAGAGAUGAGAGAGUGCCUUCGGGAACUCACAUACAGGUGCUGCAUGGCUGUCGUCAGCUCGUGUCGUGAGAUGUUGGGUUAAGUCCCGCAACGAGCGCAACCCUUUUCCUUAUUUGCCAGCGGGUUAAGCCGGGAACUUUAAGGAUACUGCCAGUGACAAACUGGAGGAAGGCGGGGACGACGUCAAGUCAUCAUGGCCCUUACGACCAGGGCUACACACGUGCUACAAUGGUAGGUACAGAGGGUUGCUACACAGCGAUGUGAUGCUAAUCUCAAAAAGCCUAUCGUAGUCCGGAUUGGAGUCUGCAACUCGACUCCAUGAAGUCGGAAUCGCUAGUAAUCGCGGAUCAGAAUGCCGCGGUGAAUACGUUCCCGGGCCU
rnacentral:rRNA from 1 species